UAGCCUCAGCACUAACAGGAACUACAAGAGCUAAUUUUUUAAAAGUCUGCUUGUUUUCCUCCCAGAUUUCUGCUGUCAGGCGCUCUGAGGCAGCGAUCGCGCUGAAAACACGUUCAUCAAGUUAUUCAACGUUUGUUGCUCCAGUAAAACACCGCAGGAAGCCUCAUCCAGUAUGAUUGCAUUUUUAUAUU